rnacentral:misc_RNA from 1 species
GAUGAAGAACGUAGCGAAAUGCGAUACGUAAUGUGAAUUGCAGAAUUCAGUGAAUCAUCGAGUCUUUGAACGCACAUUGCGCCCCCUGGUAUUCCGGGGGGCAUGCCUGUCCGAGCGUCAUUUACAAAUUCAAGCUCAGCUUGGUGAUGGGUGUCUGUCCCGCCUUUGCGCGUGGACUCGCCUCAAAUGCAGUUGGCAGCUUAUCCCUCGGCUCUAAACGCAGCAGAUUUGCGUCGAGCGUCGUGUGGACGGGCUCUCCAGUAAGCAAACCCCCCAAAAUUGACCUCGGAUCAGGUAGGGAUACCCGCUGAACUUAAGCAUAUCAAUAAGCGGAGGA